GAUGAACGCUGGCGGCGUGCCUAAUACAUGCAAGUCGAGCGAACCACUUCGGUGGUGAGCGGCGAACGGGUGAGUAACACGUAGGUGAUCUGCCCAUCAGACGGGGACAACGAUUGGAAACGAUCGCUAAUACCGGAUAGGACGAAAGUUUAAAUGUGCUUCUGGCACCGCUGAUGGAUGAGCCUGCAGCGCAUUAGCUAGUUGGGAGGGUAAAGGCCUACCAAGGCGACGAUGCGUAGCCGACCUGUGAGGGUGAACGGACACACUGGGACUGAGACACGGCCCAGACUCCUACGGGAGGCAGCAGUAGGGAAUCUUCGGCAAUGGGCGAAAGCCUGACCGAGCAACGCCGCGUGAAUGAUGAAGGCCUUCGGGUUGUAAAAUUCUGUUAUAAGGGAAGAACGACUUUAGUAGGAAAUGGCUAAAGUGUGACGGUACCUUAUGAGAAAGCCACGGCUAACUACGUGCCAGCCGCCGCUGUAACAC
rnacentral:rRNA from 1 species